rnacentral:tRNA from 1 species
GUGCCUGUGGCUCAAAGGGGUAGGGCGCUGGCCCCAUAUGCCAGAGAUGGUGGGUUCAAACCCAGCCUGGCAAA